rnacentral:rRNA from 1 species
CUACGGGGGGCUCCAGUGGGGAAUAUUGCACAAUGGAGGAAACUCUGAUGCAGCAACGCCGCGUGGAGGAUGACACUUUUCGGAGCGUAAACUCCUUUUAUAUAGGAAGAAGGUGACGGUACUAUAUGAAUAAGCGCCGGCUAACUCCGUGCCAGCAGCCGCAGUAAUACGGAGGGCGCAAGCGUUACUCGGAAUCACUGGGCGUAAAGAGCGUGUAGGCGGAUUAAAAAGUCAGAAGUGAAAUCCUAUAGCUUAACUAUAGAACUGCUUCUGAAACUCUUAAUCUAGAAUAUGGGAGAGGUAGAUGGAAUUUCUGGUGUAGGGGUAAAAUCCGUAGAGAUCAGAAGGAAUACCGAUUGCGAAGGCGAUCUACUAGAACAUUAUUGACGCUGAGACGCGAAAGCGUGGGGAGCAAACAGGAUUAGAUACCCCAGUAGUC